rnacentral:rRNA from 1 species
UGGGGAAUAUUGCACAAUGGGGGAAACCCUGAUGCAGCGAUGCCGCGUGGAGGAAGAAGGUUUUCGGAUUGUAAACUCCUUUUAUCAGGGACGAUAAUGACGGUACCUGAAGAAAAAGCUCCGGCUAACUACGUGCCAGCAGCCGCGGUAAUACGUAGGGAGCGAGCGUUGUCCGGAAUUACUGGGUGUAAAGGGAGCGUAGGCGGGACGGCAAGUCAGAUGUGAAAACUGAGGGCUCAACCUUCAGACUGCAUUUGAAACUGCUGUUCUUGAGUGAAGUAGAGGUAAGCGGAAUUCCUAGUG